rnacentral:rRNA from 1 species
UGCAGUCGAACGAUGAUCCUGGAGCUUGCUCUGGGGGAUUAGUGGCGAACGGGUGAGUAACACGUGAGUAACCUGCCCUUGACUCUGGGAUAACCUCCGGAAACGGAAGCUAAUACCGGAUAUGACGCACGGAGGCAUCUCCUGUGCGUGGAAAGAAUUUCGGUCAAGGAUGGACUCGCGGCCUAUCAGGUAGUUGGUGAGGUAAUGGCUCACCAAGCCUACGACGGGUAGCCGGCCUGAGAGGGUGACCGGCCACACUGGGACUGAGACACGGCCCAGACUCCUACGGGAGGCAGCAGUGGGGAAUAUUGCACAAUGGGCGAAAGCCUGAUGCAGCAACGCCGCGUGAGGGACGACGGCCUUCGGGUUGUAAACCUCUUUUAGUAGGGAAGAAGCGAAAGUGACGGUACCUGCAGAAAAAGCACCGGCUAACUACGUGCCAGCAGCCGCGGUAAUACGUAGGGUGCAAGCGUUGUCCGGAAUUAUUGGGCGUAAAGAGCUCGUAGGCGGUUUGUCGCGUCUGCUGUGAAAUCCCGAGGCUCAACCUCGGGUCUGCAGUGGGUACGGGCAGACUAGAGUGCGGUAGGGGAGAAUGGAAUUCCUGGUGUAGCGGUGGAAUGCGCAGAUAUCAGGAGGAACACCGAUGGCGAAGGCAGUUCUCUGGGCCGUAACUGACGCUGAGGAGCGAAAGCGUGGGGAGCGAACAGGAUUAGAUACCCUGGUAGUCCACGCCGUAAACGUUGGGCGCUAGAUGUGGGGACCAUUCCACGGUUUCCGUGUCGCAGCUAACGCAUUAAGCGCCCCGCCUGGGG